GUAGAUCUGUCACAACUCAGUACUGAAAAGAUACCGUGCAAGUGAAUUUAAACAGUCGGCUUUCUAUCCCAUAUUGCCAAGAGCUCUGAGAAUGAUGAACCAAGUAAAUGCUUUAUUUAGGGCUAAGUGAGCUGCGGAUCCCUCCAGCCUGACAGCGUUUCAGCCUGCAGAGUAAGACAGCAGCAGCAACAGAAGCAGCAGAGGCAGCAGCAACAGCAGCAGCCCCUUGCUCAAGUCCAGCAGGGGAGACUUGAUCUCUGGUUAGUCUUGGAACUCAGCCUGUGGAUCGUGCACUGUCCAGGGUCCUGAAAUAUGAACCAAACAGCCAGCGUGUCCCAUCACAUCAAGUGUCAGCCCUCCAAGACCAUCAAGGUGUCUGUGAAUAUCAUUUGUCUUCAGCAGUAGCCACGUGAUGCUCUCCAAAUCUGGUGGAAUUGGUCAAAUAAGAAUCUAACAUCACUGCCAAGAGAGUAUGAGUGACUGAAUCUUAUUUUUCAAUUGGAAGUCAUUAUUUAGGUCCUAAGCCAUGUGGAGACAGGUACGGAGAUGGAUAAAGAGCCCUGCGGGUUCCACAGAGAUGGGAUGAAUCUGACCUUACCCACUGUCUGAUAUUCCUGUAUACUAUCCAGUAAGAAUAAAACAAAUGGAAAUAAGGUUGAAAAUGUAGUCAGCAGUGGGCAGGUGGGUGAAGGCAGUGGGCAAACUAUUAAGAAUGCACAAUCAUCACUGCUCCCUGACAGUUGUAAUGUAACACCAACCAUUGGGACUCAGACUAAUCUCUAUUUCAUUUCCCUCACUCGCUAGGAGAUCUAAUGGUAAAACUUAGGCUGGUCAUUGUUUCUUCCCCCCUAGCCAUGUUCUUUGCAUUGUGCUGUCUACCUGUUCCAUCUUAUGUGAUAAUCAUAUGUCCCAUAUAGGUCCCCCUGAGAAAAUGCUAAACUCUUAACUGAGUUGUAAACUUUACCCACAUUCACAGAGAUCCUGAGUAGUGAAUACUGGGCUUAAAUAAAUAUUUAUCUCCAAAGUCUCACUUUUUACUGAGUAUUUUAUCAGCCAGUGAAUCACUGUUGUAUAUAAUCAAGGUACAUUCUGAUACUUUUCUGGAUAUGACCAAAUCCAUACACAAGACAAAAAUAUUAUUAAUUCUUAUUGUUCUUAUGUGUAUGUAUUCGUGUUUGUGUGUGAGGGUAGGGGCCUCCUUCUGACAUGACACCUGUAGAGAGGUCAAACAUCUAACUCUGGUGCUUUUUCUUACCUUCCAUCUUGAGACAUAGUCUUUUCAGCUUUUCUCUAGGUACACUGUGCUAAAAUUCUCAAUAUUCCAUGUAUUUAUUUUUAUAUCACUUGUAUCCAUAGGAGUGUGGGGAUAAUACAUACUUGUGUUGUAUGUCAGGAUUUUACCUGGUUUCUAGGAAUUUGAGCACAGAGCCUCAUAAUUACAUAGUAAGUGCUUUAACCACUGUGCCAUCUUUCCAUACCUGGGCAGCAUCCUUUAGCUUCCAGAGUGUUCCACUCAAUUUAGCUUGCAUACUCUCUCCUACUUGCCAAGUACGUAAGUAAACACACAGAGCGUUCUUAUUUCAUUGGUGCAGACUCCUUCAAUAAACAAUGGCAGUAUUCAUCAUCCCUUUCAAAAAACAGCACAUGCUUUCUGCAUGUGUGUUUCAAUACUCUUCCAAGUAAUCUCAUCCACCAGGGGUGCAUGGGUACACUCUCGUGUGCAGAGAACUGUGCCAGGGCACAGUGAAAUGAUCUCAGCCUCAAAGGAUCUACAUUUCAGAGUCAUUUUCCUAUUUAACAUGUGGAGUUUAGGCAGCAUAUAUGUAGGGGCUUUCUUUUCAUGGUUGUCUUUCUUUUCAUGGUUGUCUAAGUUCUGAAAACAAGGGCUUAGGGCUUCCACACACUGAUGGAUACCACA
rnacentral:lncRNA from 1 species